UACAGAGGGUGCAAGCGUUAAUCGGAAUUACUGGGCGUAAAGGGUGCGUAGGUGGUUAUAUAAGUUAGGUGUGAAAGUCCUGGGCUUAACCUGGGGAUUGCGCCUGAUACUGUGUAGCUAGAGUCCUGUAGAGGAAAGUGGAAUUUCCGGUGUAGCGGUGAAAUGCGUAGAUAUCGGAAGGAACAUCGGUGGCGAAGGCGACUUUCUGGACAGAGACUGACACUGAGGCACGAAAGCAUGGGGAGCAAAC
rnacentral:rRNA from 1 species